rnacentral:rRNA from 1 species
GACGAACGCUGGCGGCGUGCCUAAUACAUGCAAGUAGAACGCAGUUGCGAACGGGUGAGUAACGCGUAGGUAACUGCCUGGUAGUGGGGGAUAACUAUUGGAAACGAUAGCUAAUACCGCAUACUACUAGAUGGACCUGUGUUGUAUUAGCUAGUCGGUGGGGUAACGGCUCACCAAGGCAACGAUACAUAGCCGAGCUGGGAGGGUGAUCGGCCAAACUGGGACUGGGACACGGCCCAGACUCCUACGGGAGGCAGCAGUAGGGAAACUUCGGCAAUGGGGGGAACCCUGACCGAGCAACGCCGCGGGAGUGAAGAAAGUUUUCGGGUCGGAAAGCUCUGUUGUUAAGGGAGCGGUACUUAACCAGAAAGGGACGGCUAACUACGUGCCAGCAGCCGCGGUAAUAC